rnacentral:rRNA from 1 species
UACGGAGGGUGCAAGCGUUAUCCGGAUUCACUGGGCUUAAAGGGUGCGUAGGUGGGCAGUUAAGUCAGUGGUGAAAGCCCGGAGCUCAACUUCGGAACUGCCAUUGAUACUGAUAGACUUGAGUACAGAUGAAGUGGGCGGAAUGUGACAAGUAGCGGUGAAAUGCUUAGAUAUGUCACAGAACACCGAUUGCGAAGGCAGCUCACUAAAGUGUAACUGACGCUGAGGCACGAAAGCGUGGGGAUCAAACAGG